CCCUGACAACCACUCUUGCAAACAGCUUGUUCUUGCCCAGGACAGGCCAAGCAGCCAUACCCAGCCUGCCUAGGCUUGCCCAAGCACCUUGGCCGGGGGUGAUGUGCUGCCACCUCAUUUGUUUGAUGAGCUGGUUGCUCAUACGCUGGAAGCUCAGGGAGCAGCAGAAAGCUGGGGUGCAACAAGUUGCAGCAAACAGACAAGAGGCAGGAAGCAACGUCCAGCAGAUGUAUUGCCUGCCCUGCAUGGUCUUCUCAGGACAGGCUACCUUCUCAAAGCAUUGACACUGGUGCUACUUCCAUUUGCUUCCCUCUUUUCAUCCCUUCAUUGAAAGCCAUGGCGAGUCACAACAGUUAUAUUUAUGUUUAACAGAGACAUGUUUUGUGUAAGAUAUUUUAUUUUCCCACGAGCUCUCUCAUCUGCUUAGUUGGGGAUGGCAGCUGGUGCUGCCAUGGUGGGGAGCAACUCCAGCUUGUUUUGCUCCACUGCUCCAUUUGCCUCUUCCACAGGGUUCCCAGCCAAACCAAAGACAGGAGCCAAAUGUAUCUUGCGCAGAGCAAUGGCUCCAGCUCCCCACCCCCAGCAUCUUGCUGACCUGGAGACCUCCGGGCAUAAACAAAGUGCAGUGUUAGUGGAAAAUCGGUGCAGCCCCCACAAGGUCUUUAGGAAACAUAAGAGCCUGGAUGGAGCCAGCUGUUCUGCGUGGGAAGGCAAGCGGUUAGCCCAGAUGAUGCAGAGGAGAAAGGCGAGCCAGAACCAGAGCACAUUAUUUGUCUUGUGGCCGAGAAGAUGAGUGGCUUGGGCUGGAUGUGGGCAAACGGUGCUUGGCCACAUUUUGAGGAGUGACCUCCAAGGCAAGCUGAAAGAGCUAUAGAUGUCAGCUUUUAUGGAAAAGAUGCUGGAAACUCCACAGCCCUAGCAGGCUUA